AACGAACGCUGGCGGCAUGCCUAACACAUGCAAGUCGAACGAGACCUUCGGGCAUAGUGGCGCACGGGUGCGUAACGCGUGGGAACUUGCCCUUAGGUUCGGAAUAACUCCCCGAAAGGGGUGCUAAUACCGCAUAAUCUCUUCGCACCAAAGAUUUAUCGCCUUUGGAUGGGCCCGCGUUGGAUUAGCCAGUUGGUAGGGUAAAAGCCUACCAAGGCGACGAUCCAUAGCUGGUCUGAGAGGAUGAUCAGCCACACUGGGACUGAGACACGGCCCAGACUCCUACGGAAGGCAGCAGUGGGGAAUAUUGGACAAGGGGCGAAAGCCUGAUCCAGCAAUGCCGCGUGAGUGAUGAAGGCCUUAGGGUUGUAAAGCUCUUUUACCCGGGAUGAUAAUGACAGUACCGGGAGAAUAAGCUCCGGCUAACUCCGUG
rnacentral:rRNA from 1 species